rnacentral:ncRNA from 1 species
AUAAUGAUACUUCCGUCCAGUCACAGCCCCGGAUAACCGGGAACAAGCAAUGAGGGCGGCUUGGAGAGAUCCUCGGAGGGGUGAGAUGCCCAUGA